GACUGAAUAAUUCUUAGAUUGAAAGUUGAGAAAACAAGGCUGCAGCCCCCAUGUUCUUAAAGUGAAAAUCGAAAACCCUAAUGCUAAACCAAGGUGGUUUAAUUCUAAUUCUAAUCCUAAUUGUCUUUGGUUUAAAUUAAAUGAAAGCCCAAUAACCAAAACCCUUACAAAGUAAUUAAAUUAAACCAACAAGCUGGUUUAUCUUGAUCUCCUUGCCUUGAACCAAGGCCCACGGUUUUGGCUAUCUCCUGGAGCCUCUCCUCUUGUGCUCUCAGUCUUGAUCUGGUUACUGGUCCACUCCACAAGCUGGCUAGCUCAUUUGGUUCUUCUCUGCUCGAGUCUGGUUCUUCUCUGCUCAAGUCUGGCUCUUCUCUUCUCAAGUCUGGCUCUCCCUCAUCAGACUCACUCAGC
rnacentral:lncRNA from 1 species